GACGAACGCUGGCGGCGUGCUUAACACAUGCAAGUCGAGCGGUAAGGCCCCUUCGGGGGUACACGAGCGGCGAACGGGUGAGUAACACGUGAGCAAUCUGCCCAUCACAUCGGGAUAACUCCGGGAAACCGAAGCUAAUACCGAAUACGACCACCUCCGGCAUCGGAUGGUGGUGGAAAGUUCCGGCGGUGAUGGAUGAGCUCGCGGCCUAUCAGCUUGUUGGUGGGGUAACGGCCCACCAAGGCUUCGACGGGUAGCCGGCCUGAGAGGGUGACCGGCCACACUGGGACUGAGACACGGCCCAGACUCCUACGGGAGGCAGCAGUGGGGAAUAUUGGACAAUGGGCGAAAGCCUGAUCCAGCAACGCCGCGUGAGGGAUGACGGCCUUCGGGUUGUAAACCUCCUUCAGCAGGGACGAAGCGCAAGUGACGGUACCUGCAGAAGAAGCACCGGCCAACUACGUG
rnacentral:rRNA from 1 species